ACGGGGGCUAGUGGCACCAAGUCCCUUGGAACAGGUUCUCUUAAAAGGUGAGAGCCCCGUAAGUACCACAAUACCGUCUUGUGUCUCCUCUCCAAAGAGUCGAGUUGUUUGGGAUGCAGCUCAAAGUGGUUGGUAAUUCCAUCUAAAGCUAAAUACCGGCGAGAGACCGAUAGCGACUAUACAUUGAUGGAAAGAUGAAAAGCACUUUGAAAAAGAGUGAAACAGUACUGAAAUUGUUGAAGGGAAUGGCUUGCUAGCAAACACUGGCUUC
rnacentral:rRNA from 1 species